GAAAAAAGACAAAUCAGGGAGAAGCUCCUCUUAUUUCAGUUGCACAUCAUUUCAAGAAUUUUAAGUUGCGAUAACAUAGAUUGACAAUUAAGAACUUUACUGCAUUAGAUUAUUCUCUAUCUCUCCGAAAUAAGGGUAUAGUUUGCCUAUCCUCUAUCCUUCUUAGACCCUAUUAAUGAGAUUCUACUAGAUUGUUGUUGUAGUACUGCAUUAGAUUAUCGAAUCAAUUCAAAAAUGAAUAAUCCAAAAAUAAGUCUCAUGCGCCUGGUCAUUAUUAGAUAAUACAUUAAAGAAUAACUAAUGAUUAUAUCAUGUUCACUUUUGCAAGGAUAUAGUAGUUACAUCACACAUGCAGCCUUUUGAUACUAAUUUCAGUGAUAUCAUAUGAGAUUCAUAAUUACUUCUCCAAAAAUACCCAAAGGAGAAAAAGGCAAACCAACGUUGGCUUUGUCACGUUACUAAACUAUGGAUUAACAAAAAAAUAAACAUUUUCUUAUUAAACUAGUCUUUAUGAUCCUAAGCUAUAAAUCUUUCCUUUGACCUAGCUGGUUGAUGAAACCAAAGAAAGUCAAAAGGAUAAGUAUCUAACUAACUAAACACAAUUCCCUGUAUUCUUCACUAAAAAUUUCCUCUUUGCUCCAUUUUAUUUUUUCUGUGCAAGUCCUCUUUGAAGAACUUCGUUAUAUAUACGGGUAAUAGCGGGCUCAGAAUCAUUAGCUUGCCCUAUUUGAAGGUAUAUAGUAUCGUAUUUAUCAGUAGAAGGACCUGAAAAUGUAUGCAUUUGGGUACUGUUGGUCAAGAUUUAAACCAGUUGAGAGUGGAGAUGAAAAGUUUUUGAACAAAAGGAAAAAGAAGAAAUGGAAACUAAUUAAAAAAAUUGGAAGAUCAGAACAGAAGAAACGGUAACUAAUUAAGUUCGUAUUAUACCCUACGAAAAUAUAUUUAUGUAAACUGUUUUAAUGAUUUCGAUUAGAAAAUAAAGACAGACACAUAGAGAGAGUGCAGAGGGGAAGAGAGAGAAACUUAGCUUAUUAUUGGAAGAGAGCUAGAGCGUACGUGAAUGUGAUGAGAAUCAAAAAACUUAUUGACAUAAAAUUAUAGAAAGAUCAAU
rnacentral:lncRNA from 1 species